rnacentral:misc_RNA from 1 species
GAUGAAGAACGUAGCGAAAUGCGAUACUUGGUGUGAAUUGCAGAAUCCCGUGAACCAUCGAGUCUUUGAACGCAAGUUGCGCCCGAAGCCAUUAGGCCGAGGGCACGCCUGCCUGGGCGUCACACGUCGUUGCCCCCCCAUCUACUCCUUCGGGAUUGCGGGGGGCGGAUGAUGGCCUCCCGUGCGCCUCGUCGCGCGGUUGGCAUAAAUGCCAAGUCCUCGGCGACGCACGCCACGACAAUCGGUGGUUGCGAAACCUCGGUUGCCCGUCGCGUGCGGUCGUCGCGCAUCGAGGGCUCGAAAAAAUUGCCGGGCUCCGGCUCGGCUUUCAACGCGACCCCAGGUCAGGCGGGGUUACCCGCUGAAUUUAAGCAUAUCAAUAAGCGGAGGA